rnacentral:rRNA from 1 species
GACGAACGCUGGCGGCGUGCUUAACACAUGCAAGUCGAACGGAAAGGCCCUGCUUUCGUGGGGUUCUCGAGUGGCGAACGGGUGAGUAACACGUGAGUAACCUGCUCUUGACUUUGGGGUAACUUCAGGAAACUGGGGCUAAUACCGGACAGGAGCUCCUGCUGCAUGGUGGGGGUUGGAACGUUUCGGCGGUUGGGGAUGGACUCGCGGCUUAUCAGCUUGUUGGUGGGGUAGUGGCUUACCAAGGCUUUGACGGGUAGCCGGCCUGAGAGGGUGACCGGCCACAUUGGGACUGAGAGACGGCGCAGACUCCUACGGGAGGCAGCAGGGGGGAAUAUUGCGCAAUGGGCGGAAGCCUGAUGCAGCAACGCCGCGUGCGGGAUGACGGCCUUCGGGUUGUAAACCGCUUUCGCCUGUGACGAAGCGUGAGUGACGGUAAUGGGUAAAGAAGCACCGGCUAACUACGUG